AUUGAACGCUGGCGGCAGGCUUAACACAUGCAAGUCGAACGAGUGGCGGACGGGUGAGUAAUGCUUGGGAAUCUGCAUGAUGGAGGGGGAUAACAACGGGAAACGGUAGCUAAUACGGCGUACAAUAGGAUGCGCCAAAGUGGGAUUAGGUAGUUGGUGAGGCAAAGGCUCACCAAGCCGACGAUCGCUAGCUGGUCUGAGAGGAUGACCAGCCACACUGGGACUGAGACACGGCCCAGACUCCUACGGGAGGCAGCAGUGGGGAAUAUUGCGCAAUGGGGGCAACCUGACGCAGCCAUGCCGCGUGAAUGAAGAAGGCCUUCGGGUUGUAAAGUUCUUUCGGUAGCGAGGCGUUAACUACAGAAGAAGCACCGGCUAACUCCGUGCCAGCAGCCGCGGUAAUUC
rnacentral:rRNA from 1 species